UAACUACAUUACUGAUAACUCAAAUGAGAGCGCCAAUAAAGCUCGAAGGGGUACACUGAGACCUCCCGCAUGCACUCUUAGCUAACAAAUGAGAGUGUGUGAAGCCGGGUAAAGACGAGUGAAACCUACCCUAACACGUAAUGGUGAGGAAAAAUAAGUCAGAGGUGACUAUGUAGGCAUAGCACGGGUGGCGA
rnacentral:ncRNA from 1 species